UACGUAGGGUGCAAGCGUUGUCCGGAAUUAUUGGGCGUAAAGAGCUCGUAGGCGGUCUGUCGCGUCUGGUGUGAAAAUCCAGGGCUUAACCCUGGACCUGCAUCGGGUACGGGCAGACUAGAGUGUGGUAGGGGAGAUCGGAAUUCCUGGUGUAGCGGUGAAAUGCGCAGAUAUCAGGAGGAACACCGGUGGCGAAGGCGGAUCUCUGGGCCAUAACUGACGCUGAGGAGCGAAAGCGUGGGGAGCGAACAGG
rnacentral:rRNA from 1 species